UACGAAGGGUGCAAGCGUUACUCGGAAUUACUGGGCGUAAAGCGUGCGUAGGCGGUUUGUUAAGUCUGACGUGAAAUCCCCGGGCUCAACCUGGGACGUGCGUUGGAAACUGGCGAUCUAGAGUACGGUAGAGGGUGGUGGAAUUCCCGGUGUAGCAGUGAAAUGCGUAGAGAUCGGGAGGAACACUCGUGGCGAAGGCGGCCACCUGGACCAGUACUGACGCUGAGGCACGAAAGCGUGGGGAGCAAACAGG
rnacentral:rRNA from 2 species